rnacentral:rRNA from 1 species
GACGAACGCUGGCGGCGUGCUUUACACAUGCAAGUCGAGCGGUAAGGCCCCUUCGGGGGUACACGAGCGGCGAACGGGUGAGUAACACUUGAGCAACCUGCCCCUGACUCCGGGAUAAGCGGUGGAAACCCCGUCUAAUGCCGGAUACGACCCUCCGCCUCAUGGCGGCGGGUGGAAAGUUUUUUCGGUCGGGGAUGGGCUCUCGGCAUAUCAGCUUGUUGGUGGGGUAACGGCCUACCAAGACGAUUACGGGUAGCCGGCCUGAGAGGGCGACCGGCCACAAUGGGACUGAGACACGCCCCAGACUCGUGCGGGAGGCAGCAGUGGGGAAUCUUGCGCAAUGGGCGGAAGCCUGACGCAGGGACGCCGCGUGGGGGAUGACGGCCUUCGGGUUGUAAACCUCUUUUACCACUCACGCAGGCCCCGGGUUUUCUCGGGGUUGACGGUAGGUGGGGAAUAAGGACCGGCUAACUACGUGCCAGCAGCCGCGGUAAUACGUAGGGUCCGAGCGUUGUCCGGAAUUAUUGGGCGUAAAGAGCUCGUAGGCGGCGUGUCGCGUCUGCUGUGAAAGGCCGGGGCUUAACUCCGGUUUUGCAGUGGAUACGGGCAUGCUAGAGGUAGGUAGGGGAGACUGGAAUUCCUGGUGUAGCGGUGAAAUGCGCAGAUAUCAGGAGGAACACCGGUGGCGAAGGCGGGUCUCUGGGCCUUACC